CCUACGGGCGGCUGCAGUGGGGAAUUUUACACAAUGGGGGAAACCCUGAUGUAGCGACACCGCGUAAACGAAGAAGCCUUUUGGGGUGUAAAGUUCUGUCGGCUGGAACGAAAAAAAUGACGGUACCAGCAAAGGAAGCAUCGGCUAACUACGUGCCAGCAGCCGCGGUAAGACGUAGGAUGCAAGCGUUGUCCGGAUUUAUUGGGCGUAAAGAGUUCGUAGGCGGUUAUUUAAGUCUGAUGUUAAAUACUGUGGCCCAACCACAGAACUGCAUUGGAUACUGGAUGACUUGAGUGCGGUAGAGGCAAGUGGAAUUCCCAGUGUAGCGGUGAAAUGCGUAGAUAUUGGGAAGAACACCAGUGGCGUAAGCGACUUGCUGGCCCGUAACUGACGCUGAGGAACGAAAGCCAGGGGAGCGAAUGGGAUUAGAUACCCCUGUAGUC
rnacentral:rRNA from 1 species